GGAUGUGAGGACGAUCUGGCGGCGACAUCUGUCACCCCAUUGAUUGCCAGGGUUGACUCGCUGAUCUGGCUGGCUAGGCGGGCGUCCCCUCCCACCCUCCCUCACCACUCCAUGUGCGUCCCUCCCUCUGGAAGCUGCGCACUCGCUCAGUGUAAAAGGACGGCCUUCCCUGAAUAAAGGUGGACUGGUCUUCUGUCCAGGGUAUAUGAGCAGCUGUGCUCCCAUGCUAGAACCUCCAAACAAGCUCUCAAGAAAAAGGGUGCAGUAAAACACUGUUACAUUUACCAGGUAUUAAAAAUGAAAGCUUU
ensembl:misc_RNA 7SK 7SK RNA